UACAUCACUAAUCAUCCCUUUGUCAUAUGUGUAAGUACAACACCAAUCAUCCCUUUGUGAUAUGUGUGAGUACAACACCAACCAUCCCUUUGUCAUAUGUACUGAUGACAAAGGGGUGUUCCGUACAAGCUUGUCUAAAGAGUAUGCCAUCAUGGCCAGCACUUUAAAGCUGACCAAAAGUCAAGUUUGGGACAAAUCUUACAAAGCCAUCGAUCAUGUGUUUGCUGAUGAUCAGCUCAAAGAUGAUCUGCGCGAAGUGUUUGACAACGAAAAGCUUGCAUGUUUUAGCUGAGGGUUUCCUUGAAACUAGACUAAUGAAAAUGACGCAUUUCCUCGUUCCAAAGAUUUUGUCAAUAUUCAUACAGUAUAUUAAAAAAGGUUUUAUCUAAGAAACACCACAUAGGGUGCUUUUCUAUAACCCUUUAAACAAAGUGUAAUGGUCAAAGAUUUAUAACCAAGGGAGUUCAAAAGCGAAUUUUACCCUAAUAAAGUGAAAUAUGCUAUGAUAAAAAUAAAUUGCGCAUUAUUUGAGCUUAAA